GAUGAAGAACGUAGCGAAAUGCGAUAAGUAAUGUGAAUUGCAGAAUUCCGUGAAUCAUCGAAUCUUUGAACGCACAUUGCGCCCUCUGGUAUUCCGGGGGGCAUGCCUGUCCGAGCGUCAUUGCAAACCCUCAAGCCCGGCUUGUGUGUUGGGCUUCGUCCCCCCGUGGACGUGCCCGAAAGGCAGUGGCGGCGUCCCGAAUGGUGCCCGAGCGUAUGGGAACUCUCUUCCGCUCGAACCGGCCCAUUCGGCGCUGGUCGAACCCCAAUUUUUUUUACCGGUUGACCUCGGAUCAGGUAGGGAUACCCGCUGAACUUAAGCAUAUCAAUAAGCGGAGGA
rnacentral:misc_RNA from 1 species